AAAGGUAAGCUACUAAGAGCGAAUGGUGGAUGCCUUGACUGGUAAAGGCGAUGAAGGACGUACUAGACUGCGAUAAGCUACGGGGAGCUGUCAAGAAGCUUUGAUCCGUAGAUUUCCGAAUGGGGCAACCCAAUGUAUAGAGAUAUACAUUACCUAUAUAGGAGCGAACGAGGGGAAUUGAAACAUCUUAGUACCCUCAGGAAAAGAAAUCAAUAGAGAUUGCGUCAGUAGCGGCGAGCGAAAGCGCAAGAGGGCAAACCCAGUGCUUGCACUGGGGGUUGUAGGACUGCAAUGUGCAAGAGCUGAGUUUAGCAGAACAUUCUGGAAAGUAUAGCCAUAGAGGGUGAUAGUCCCGUAUGCGAAAAACAAAGCUUAGCUAGCAGUAUCCUGAGUAGGGCGGGACACGAGGAAUCCUGUCUGAAUCCGGGUCGACCACGAUCCAACCCUAAAUACUAAUACCAGAUCGAUAGUGCACAAGUACCGUGAGGGAAAGGUGAAAAGAACUGAGGUGAUCAGAGUGAAAUAGAACCUGAAACCAUUUGCUUACAAUCAUUCAGAGCACU
rnacentral:rRNA from 1 species